UGAAGCCCUUCGGGGUGGAUUAGUGGCGAACGGGUGAGUAACACGUGGGCAAUCUGCCCUUCACUCUGGGACAAGCCCUGGAAACGGGGUCUAAUACCGGAUAACACUUCCGUCCUCCUGGACGGUGGUUAAAAGCUCCGGCGGUGAAGGAUGAGCCCGCGGCCUAUCAGCUUGUUGGUGAGGUAAUGGCUCACCAAGGCGACGACGGGUAGCCGGCCUGAGAGGGCGACCGGCCACACUGGGACUGAGACACGGCCCAGACUCCUACGGGAGGCAGCAGUGGGGAAUAUUGCACAAUGGGCGAAAGCCUGAUGCAGCGACGCCGCGUGAGGGAUGACGGCCUUCGGGUUGUAAACCUCUUUCAGCAGGGAAGAAGCGAAAGUGACGGUACCUGCAGAAGAAGCGCCGGCUAACUACGUGCCAGCAGCCGCGGUAAUACGUAGGGCGCAAGCGUUGUCCGGAAUUAUUGGGCGUAAAGAGCUCGUAGGCGGCUUGUCACGUCGGUUGUGAAAGCCCGGGGCUUAACCCCGGGUCUGCAGUCGAUACGGGCAGGCUAGAGUGUGGUAGGGGAGAUCGGAAUUCCUGGUGUAGCGGUGAAAUGCGCAGAUAUCAGGAGGAACACCGGUGGCGAAGGCGGAUCUCUGGGCCAUUACUGACGCUGAGGAGCGAAAGCGUGGGGAGCGAACAGGAUUAGAUACCCUGGUAGUCCACGCCGUAAACGGUGGGAACUAGGUGUUGGCGACAUUCCACGUCGUCGGUGCCGCAGCUAACGCAUUAAGUUCCCCGCCUGGGGAGUACGGCCGCAAGGCUAAAACUCAAAGGAAUUGACG
rnacentral:rRNA from 1 species